AGCUCCAAUAGCGUAUAUUAAAGUUGUUGCAGUUAAAAAGCUCGUAGUUGGAUUUCUGGCAGAGGCAACCGGUCAUACACACUGUGUGUGAACUUGUGUUGUCUUUGGCCAUCCUUGGGGAGAUCCUGUUUGGCAUUAAGUUGUCGGGCAGGGGAUACCCAUCGUUUACUAUGAAAAAAAUAGAGUGUUUAAAGCAGGCUUAUGUCGUUGAAUAUAUUAGCAUGAAAUAAUAAGAUAGGACUUCGGAACUAUUUUGUUGGUUUGCGUUACGAAGUAAUGAUUAAUAGGGACAGUUAGGGGUAUUCGUAUUUUGUUGUCAGAGGUGAAAUUCUUGGAUUUCCGAAAGACGAACUACUGCAAAAGCAUUUACCAAGGAUGUUUUCA
rnacentral:rRNA from 1 species